rnacentral:rRNA from 1 species
AUUGAACGCUGGCGGCAGGCUUAACACAUGCAAGUCGAGCGGGGUGAUGGUGCUUGCACUAUCACUUAGCGGCGGACGAGUGAGUAAUGCUUAGGAAUCUGCCUAUUAGUGGGGGACAACAUCUCGAAAGGGAUGCUAAUACCGCAUACGUCCUACGGGAGAAAGCAGGGGAUCACUUGUGACCUUGCGCUAAUAGAUGAGCCUAAGUCGGAUUAGCUAGUUGGUGGGGUAAAGGCCUACCAAGGCGACGAUCUGUAGCGGGUCUGAGAGGAUGAGCCGCCACACUGGGACGGAGACACGGCCCAGACUCCUACGGGAGGCAGCAGUGGGGAAUAUUGGACAAUGGGGGGAACCCUGAUCCAGCCAUGCCGCGUGUGUGAAGAAGGCCUUAUGGUUGUAAAGCACUUUAAGCGAGGAGGAGGCUCUUUUGGUUAAUACCCAAGAUGAGUGGACGUUACUCGCAGAAUAAGCACCGGCUAACUCUGUGCCAGCCGCCGCAGUAA